GGACUAUUCAUAUAUGGGAAGUUCAAGAAUGUGAAAUCAUGUCCUUGAGUGAAGGGAAUCUGACCCCUCUUCAUCCCUUUUCAACACCGGGUCUAGGAGAGGUCACACCAAUGCCUUCAGAAAGGAAGAAGAAGAAAAAGGGUUCAUCAAGUAAGAAAAGCAGUCCCAUUCCAGAAUAUGUCCAUGUGUCGGAAACUGUGUUUUCGCUGUCUGAGAAACCGAUCUGCUCUUUCUCCGGUCAUCUUGAUGAUGUCUUGGACCUGUCCUGGUCCAGAUCUCAGCUAUUGCUUUCAUCAUCAAUGGACAAAACUGUUCGGUUGUGGGACAUGGAAACCAAGAGCUGUCUAAAGUUGUUCGCUCAUAAUGAUUAUGUAACUUGCAUACACUUCAAUCCAAUGGAUGACAACUAUUUCAUAAGUGGUUCGCUGGAUAACAAAGUUCGUAUCUGGAACAUACCUGAUCGUCAGCUUGUGGAUUGGACUGAUCUUCACGAAAUGGUCACUGCUGUCUGCUACACCCCUGAUGGCCAGGGUGCAUUCAUUGGUUCACAUAAAGGGAGUUGCCGCAUGUACAAUGUUGAGGAUUGCAAACUGAGUCAAGCUGAGCAGAUUGACUUGCAAAACAAGAAGAAUCCAAAAAAGAUAACUGGUUUCCAGUUUUCCCCAGGCAAUCCAUCUGAAGUUCUUGUUGCUUCUGCUGAUUCUCGAAUUCGAAUUUUAGAUGGUUCAGAACUGGUUCAUAAAUUCAGAGGUUUUAGAAAUCUCAAUAGCCAAAUUGCUGCUUCAUUCAGUAAAGAUGGAAAAUAUGUAAUAUGCGCGAGUGAAGAUUCUAAUGUAUAUGUUUGGAAGCGAGACGAGCGAUCAGGGACUGGAAAAGGAAAAAAUAUGAUCGAUACACGAUCUCAUGAAAGCUUUCAGUGCAGAGAUGUAUCAAUCGCAAUCCCAUGGCCUGGUACUGUGAAGGGUGAUCCUCCACCUGUGCCAGUUAAUUCCAAAAGGCACUCCAAGCGUUCCUCCAACUCACAAACACAUUCAACCUGUGGUUCGCCAACCAAAGAUGAUGCAUCUGUGAGUAGUAAGAAAAAUCCAACUUCUGCAACUGAUUCGCCCAUGACAGAAGAUAAUUCUGCAGCUACAAACAGUAAGAAACAGUUGCCACCUCUUCCAAAGAAAAACAACAGCAACAACAGCAACAACAAUAAUGUAGAUAAAGCUCCAUCCCUGGAAGAGGACUCGUCUGCGAUUUCACAGUCUGAUUCUGGUCUCGGAGAUUCAUUCAGUUCUGUUUCUUCCUCCAUAAAGUAUGGUGAUUCACCUUCUAUUUCAGCUGCUCCUUCUCCGUCUUCUUCUUGGCCUUCCUCUUGGUCAUGGUUUGAUGGAAGUGGGAGUGGCAACCAAUCAGUACAAGCAACAGCAUGGGGCAUGGUGAUUGUUACAGCAACAUUGGGAGGUGAAAUUAGAGCUUAUCAAAAUUUUGGAUUGCCUCGUAGGAUUGGUCGCCAAUCCAACCUGUUUUGAGCCAUUGCAUGCAUAUGGAUUUUUUGUAUUAGAGAAAAUAGAAGCUUAACAUGGUUUUUGGUAAUAGUGCUUUAUUUUUUGAAGCAUAUCAUGAUUUCUGUGCUGCAAAAUAGUACUAGGAGAAAAAUGCUGCAAAAUAUUACUGGGAGAAAAAUGAGCUUUGAUGUUAUCUACUCUAUCAACAAGAGCAGCACUUCGCAUUGUACGUGAUAAAUGGAAAUUUUUGUUUAGAUUGCUAGUGAAUUUAAGAUAUAAUAUAUAUAUGG
rnacentral:misc_RNA from 1 species